CUUGACAUCCAGCGAACUUGGCAGAGAUGCCUUGGUGCCUUCGGGAACGCUGAGACAGGUGCUGCAUGGCUGUCGUCAGCUCGUGUUGUGAAAUGUUGGGUUAAGUCCGCAACGAGCGCAACCCUUAUCCUUUGUUGCCAGCGAUUCGGUCGGGAACUCAAAGGAGACUGCCGGUGAUAAACCGGAGGAAGGUGGGGAUGACGUCAAGUCAUCAUGGCCCUUACGAGUAGGGCUACACACGUGCUACAAUGGCGCAUACAAAGAGAAGCGACCUCGCGAGAGCAAGCGGACCUCAUAAAGUGCGUCGUAGUCCGGAUCGGAGUCUGCAACUCGACUCCGUGAAGUCGGAAUCGCUAGUAAUCGUGGAUCAGAAUGCCACGGUGAAUACGUUCCCGGGCCUUGUACACACCGCCCGUCACACCAUGGGAGUGGGUUGCAAAAGAAGUAGGUAGCUUAACCUUCGGGAGGGCGCUUACCACUUUGUGAUUUAUGACUGGGGUGAAGUCGUAACAAGGUAAGCGUAGCGAG
rnacentral:rRNA from 1 species